UUGCCGCCGUUUUGUCGCUUAUUAAGGUAGGUUGGAUUUAGUUACUUUGCACUUGUUUAAUGAUGCUGAUUCUGGUUUUUCUACAAUAACUACAGGAAUUUCUCGCAAUAACCGUUCAUGCUCCUCUGGAUUCUUAAGCUUGUGGUAGUUCUUCGGAUAGUUGAAGCAAGACACCGAGGUUAGACUAUGCAUAGCUGCAACCUUUGUCGCAGGCAACAGCAGCUUUGAGGCAUUUUUUGUCCACCGUUUUAAGAUGUAAUGGGAUGGUAAUGUAAGUACAUUUGUCACAGCGGAAACAGUUAAAACGCGCCUGCAAAGGAGGCUCGAAUACUCAAACAUUUGGCAGGUUAUGGCUGGUGUGAUCGGUUAUGGACCAGGUUGUAUGGUGCUCAAAUCAAGUUCAGUUAAAACCAAAGAAUCUCCUUCAAGUAAGCCACUUGGAAUAAAUCCUGAAAAUCUAUUGUUGCUAAGCUUAAGGAUUUGGAGAUCGUAAACAAAAUAGAAUCCAGAAAAUAUACAAUCUGCUCAAUGGAAUUCAUGAAUCCUGGAAUGGAGCCGAAGUGUAUUCGUAUUGCCGGCUGGAUUAGUUUUGCAGAAGAGAUUUUAGUUUUUUCUGCGUUUGCAUUUGGAAGGCUCGCAUUUCAUGUCGGCGUCUUCGGCCAGACCUUGCUUCUGCUCGGUUUUGGAGCCGUUGUUGCAACUUGCUUUUAGGAUGUUUUUGUUGUAUCAUGUGUUAUCUUCGUUUUAGUGAGCUCAAUCUAGUACAUCUUUGUGCUUUCUGAUAUCA